GUGCUGAAGACACAGCAGGAGCUGCCGAGGCAGAAAGGUUAGCAGGGUGCUGCACUCCUCUCUCUGAGGUCACCUGCACUUCCUAAGUGCAUAACUUCAACUCUUCCCAACCUUUCAGGGCACUCCUCUCUCUGAAGUCACCCACACUUUCUAAGUGUGUGACCUUUUAAUCUUAAACUCUUUCUCUCCAACCUUUCAGGGCACUCCUCCCUCUCUGAGGUCACCUGCACUUCUUUCUGGCUAAGUAACUUUAAAUAAAACUUUUACUCUGCUUCA